GAGAUGAAACCUGGAAGAUGAGCCUAAACAAAUCAUGGAGGAUGUCAGGCAGCAGACAGGAAUGUUUGAGUUGAAGGAAAUAGGAGAUGGCCACUUCCUAGCAGAGGCAAGCCUUCAGGAACUGAAAGGAAUCAGUGGUGGCUGUGAGACAGACAACAUGUGAGAGAUGUGGUCCAGGACAAAGAAUUCAGUUCUUACUCUAACUCAAUGGGGAGGAUCUGGAAGUAACAUAGGGUCUGAUCCACUUGGAGACUGUGGAGAAAUGGGCUUGGUGGAGGGCACUAGAGAGGCCAGGCUGACAGGGACACUGUGGCAGUGGUCCAGUGUGAGAAGGUGAUCUCACUAAUAUUCUGCAGAAUCCAAUAGCAAUUUUAAAAAACACAUUUUCAUAAGUAAUGUCAUUCUUGACUGUAGGUAAAAAUGUGAAAUUCUAGAAAAAGAUAGGAGUCUUCUAGAAUUCUCUUUUCAACUUCUCUGGUAACUUUUAUCUCCCCGGAAUACAAGUUUUAAAAGGGAAGAUAGACAAACCAGAAGUAUUCGAAAUGAAGUGGCUGGAGACAGGCAGAUGACAGAAAGGGAGUGAUGAGGCAGAAGAUCCUGGUUGGAGGGGAAGUCACACAAGGGACAUCAUCACAGCAGUGACACUGACUUAGGUGAGCUCUGCGCCUGGGAUGGAAUUGGAUCCAGUGAGUGGAAACUUCAGGAACCCUGAUUAUAGCUGUAGAUAAUGAAUAACCUGUUCGUAGUUAGAAUAGCUCAAAGAGGUGGCAGUGGUGAGGACAGCAGAGAAGUAAAGAAGAAAUAUGGCCCUUGAAUAACAUUGCGAGUUGUCCGAUGUCCUCCCCUACCAGGAGUAUUCACCAUCUACUACAUUGGUCAUCCCAUUACUGCAGUUUUCCAGGCCAAGAAUUUUGAGGCCAUUCUUCCUUGUUUCCCACUUCUUUUCUUUAUGUAUACCAUUCAUCCAAUCUACAAGCAAAUCCAUUUACCUCUACCUUCAAAAUGUUCCCAGCAUCCAACUCCUCACCACCUGUGUGAUACCUGCAAGGGUCCAUCUCCC
rnacentral:lncRNA from 1 species